rnacentral:rRNA from 1 species
UACGGAGGAUCCAAGCGUUAUCCGGAAUCAUUGGGUUUAAAGGGUCCGUAGGCGGUUUAGUAAGUCAGUGGUGAAAGCCCAUCGCUCAACGGUGGAACGGCCAUUGAUACUGCUAGACUUGAAUUAUUAGGAAGUAACUAGAAUAUGUAGUGUAGCGGUGAAAUGCUUAGAGAUUACAUGGAAAUCCAAUUGCGAAGGGAGGGUUAUUAUAAUGGAUUGACGCUGAUGGACGAAAGCGUGGGUAGCAAACAGG